GCAUUACAAAAAACCCUUCCCCUCCCCUCUCCCCUCUCCCCAAACAAGAAGAAAACGGUAAUCUGAAGGCCCCCAUUCCGGAGCAAUGGAUUUCCAGAGACUUACAAGGAGAGAAUUGCAAGCUCUCUGCAAGAAGAACAAAAUUCCUGCAAACGUGACCAAUGCUGCCAUGGCCGACGCUCUGAAAGCUCUCCAGCUUGUUGAAGGAAUUGAAGAAUUGACGCAGCUGUCUCAAUCUUUUCCUGCACAAUUAUCAACUUAAUCACCAGUGAGAUGCGAGGUAACGUCUCCCUAUGUGCCUCCAACUGGUGGCAGAAGCACACGCCGGAGAAAUGUUGCGAAAGAAGAGCCUGAAUCUGUGAAGCCAAUGACUAGGACUCGGCGUACGGCUUGCAAGACCCUAGUUAAAGAUGCUGAUGAAUCACAGGCAGUAAUCGAAACUCCAGCAUUGGUGGCGCAAACUAAUAGAAAGAAGAGUUAGAUGGCCUCGGCCUGUCGGAAAAUGGAUUCCCAGUUGAUGGAAUGUGUAGAGGAGGAAAAGAAAGAUGUUUCAAUGACUCCUGCUCCAAUGGGAGUUACUAGCCGAAGAAGAAGGGUGAAGGAAGAGAGUGCGGUUCAGAAAGUGUAUAGCACACGACGGUCAGUUAGGUUGGCGGAGAAGAAUGUGGAGAAGUUGAAUGUGGCGGAAAAUGAAAGGUAUGAGCUUUUCAAGAAGGAAUUGCUUACUAAAGAUGCUGGUGAAGAUGAGGAUAUGACUUUGAAAGAAGGCCCGAAUGAUUCUGAUGAAGUAUCAGGAAUUACUGGUACCGAUAGAUGAGAGUUCUCAGGAGAAAGAUAAAUCAGAAGUUGUUUCAGCUGAAGAACAGGUUAUAUCAAUGGUUCAAGAGAUCGAAGUGGCACCAGGCCUGCACUUUGAGGCAGAUGGUCCUAAGCCAGCGGUGAAGGAGAAUAGUGAUGUGGAAAAUGAGGAAACAGGUAUUGAUUUUGAGACACAAGCUGAAGUUAAUGAAAGUGAAAGUGUGUGUGUACCUCUUGGUCUGUCUUUGUAAUUUUUAUGAGCCAAAUGAUCUUUUACUAUCUUGAAGUUAAAGUUGAAAACACGGAAGAACUGAAUAGUGAGAAAGAGAUAGGACCUCAAGACAAGGCUGCUGUCCACAAUUUAGAUGUGACCUUGGAGAAAUUCACAGAACUCAGAUUGCAAACAAGCUACAGAAGAAGUGUCAACUAGAAAAAUGCUGGAGGAUGUUACAGAAGCUGAUUUCAUUGAUCAUUUGGCUAUCUCUGUACAACUCAACGAGGAGGCUGAUAAAAUUGAAAUUCUUCAGCAUGACGAAAGCACAAAGGUUGCUGCUGAUCUGGUGCGGUCUGAUGGAGUGGCUGUGAACACUUUCCGCUGUAAAGGAAUGAACCGGGUGCAAAAGGUGUUCCACUCGGCUUUGCUGCAGAGUUAGAUUCACAGCUCAUCAGUCAACCAACCUGUUUGACGCCGAGUAAAUAUUCUGCAAGCAAGGCAACUGCAACAAUGAAAAUGGUGACUGCUUUCACAGAUAACAAAGAGAACAUUGGUAGUGGCAGUAAAUUGGUUCUUGUGAAAGACAGAGUAAAGACAGCUAAAAACAUUGUUGAGAAUGCCGACAAUUUGAAUGAGUUGAGUGUGAGAAAGCUGUCCAAGAUGUUGAAGGAAAAGCUAGAGAUCACCAAGAAGUCAACUAAAAAUGACAGUGGCAACGAAAAAGCAUUACCAAGACCAGCUCUGCAAGCACUUCCUGUGAACCGAUUAGUAGAUGAAACCCAAGACUGAUUGCUGCUAUGCAAGAAUUUGGUUAUCCAGGGUCCAGGAAAACUGAAUAAGUGUGCCUUGGAAAAGGCAUGGACAGGAUAUAUGAAAAUAGGAGGGCAGAAGUCAAGCUUCUUGGUUUGCUGCUGCUGCUGCUUCUUUUUCCUAAGGGGUAUCCAAUAACAUCACUCAAUGUAAUAAUUUCAGUAAUAAUUAUUACUGAAAUUGUGAUGUUUUCAUCAAACAAGAAAUCUGAAUAAGUGUGCCUUGGAAAAGGCAUGGACAGAAUAUAUGAAAAUAGGAGUGCAGAAGUCAAGCUUCUUGGUUUGCUGCUGCUCCCUCCCACUUUAAGAGAUGGAAUUUUGAGUCUUUUCCUAAAGGGUAUCCAUAUCAAGUCUAAUUUUUUAUUAUAAAAAAAU